AUGGAGUUUGGGCUCAGCUGGAUUUUCCUUGUUGCUAUUUUAGGAGGUGUCCAGUGUGAUGUGCAGUUGGUGGAGUCUGGGGGAGGCUUGGUGAAGCCUGGGGGUUCCCUCAAACUCUCCUGCCUGGCCUCUGGAUGCACCUUCAGUAGCUGCAAUAUGCAUUGGGUCCGCCAGGCUCCAGGGAAGGGGCUGGAGUGGGUCUCAUACAUUAAUAGCGGUGGUAUUUACGCAAACUACGCCAACUCUGUGAAAGGCCGAUUCACCAUCUCCAAAGACAAUGGCAAGAACAUGCUUUUCCUGCAAAUGAACAACCUGCGAGCUGAGGACACGGCCGUGUAUUACUGUGCUAGAGGCCCCAAGGGAGAAUAUUUGCAUGACACAGGGUGUUUGCUUAACUACAUCCUACACUCUGUCUUCUUUGUUAGUUCCUUUUAG